GUGUAAUUUCGAUCCGCUUAGGUGU
rnacentral:piRNA from 1 species